rnacentral:rRNA from 1 species
CCGGAGAUGGAGCCUGAUAAACGGCUACCACAUCCAAGGAAGGCAGCAGGCGCGCAAAUUACCCAAUCUCGAUACGAGGAGGUAGUGACGAAAAAUAACAAUACGGGACUCUUUCGAGSCCCCGUAAUUGGAAUGAUGUACUCUAAAACGUGUGCAACGAGGGAUCUAUUGGAGGGCAAGUCUGGUGCCAGCAGCCGCGGUAAUUCCAGCUCCAAUAGCGUAUAUUAAAGCUGUUGUGGUUAAAAAGCUCGUAGUUGGAUCUCAGGGUCGUUCGCGUCGGUCCCUUGCUGCAAUGGCUCGGGUACUGCGCGGUGUCGUCCCCCUUGCCAGACCUCUCAAAAAGGUUGCUCUUGACUGAGUGGCCUUCUCGAGUGGCUGGAGAGUUUACUUUGAAAAAAUUAGAGUGUUCAAAGCAGGCACAGCCCGCCUGUAUAAUGGUGCAUGGAAUAAUGGAAUAGGACCCCGGAUCCUAUUUUGCUGGUUUUUGGAGCUCAGGGGUAAUGAUUAAGAGGAACAGGGCGGGGGCAUCCGUAUUACGGCGUUAGAGGUGAAAUUCUUGGAUCGUCGUAAGACGCCCUACAGCGAAAGCAUUUGCCAAGUAUGUUUUCAUUAAUCAAGAACGAAAGUCAGGGGUUCGAAGACGAUCAGAUACCGUCGUAGUUCUGACCGUAAACUAUGCCAACUGGCAGCCCGUCGGCGUUGCUCUAUUCGACUCGGCGGGAGGCCUACCCGAAAGGAAAGUCUACGGGUUCCAGGGGAAGUAUGGUUGCAAAGCUGAAACUUAAAGGAAUUGACGG